rnacentral:tRNA from 1 species
AUUAGAAUAGUUUAAAUAUAAAAAUAAUAAUUUUGUAAAUUAUAGAUAAAUUUCAAUUUUUUUUAAUA